CGGGGUAUAGCGCAGUCUGGUAGCGCGCCUGCUUUGGGAGCAGGAUGUCGGGAGUUCAAAUGUCUCUACCCCGA
rnacentral:tRNA from 1 species